UACGUAGGGUGCAAGCGUUGUCCGGAAUUAUUGGGCGUAAAGAGCUCGUAGGCGGUCUGUCGCGUCUGCUGUGAAAACUCGGGGCUUAACCCCGGGCCUGCAGUGGGUACGGGCAGACUAGAGUGCGGUAGGGGAGACUGGAAUUCCUGGUGUAGCGGUGAAAUGCGCAGAUAUCAGGAGGAACACCUGCGGCGAAGGCGGGUUGCUGGGCUGACACUGACGCUGAGGCGCGAAAGCCAGGGGAGCGAACGGG
rnacentral:rRNA from 1 species